rnacentral:tRNA from 1 species
GAGUAGCUCAGCGGUAGAGCAAUCGGCUGUUAACCGAUCGGCCGGGGGUUCGAAUCCCUCCUC